rnacentral:lncRNA from 1 species
AAGCGGUCGAAUCGAAAACGGGUGGCGGUCGCGGGCAGUUUGAAUUGGCCUCUGUGCUCCAGCUCACGGAGGCUGGACAAGGACUCGCCUUUGAGAGGGGUUGUUUGCCCUCUCCCGCCAGCAAGUUUAUUUAUAAAUGUUUGAGUAAUAAAGAAAGGAGAGCAAAAUGAGCUGGGCUUUGGAAGAAUGGAAGGAAGGCCUGCCUACAAGAGCUCUUCAGAAGAUUCAAGAGCUUGAAGGCCAGCUCGACAAACUGAAGAAAGAAAGGCAGCAAAGGCAGUUUCAGCUUGAGACCCUGGAGGCUGCGUUGCAGAAGCAAAAACAGAAGAUUGAGAAUGAAAAAACUGAGGGUGCAAACCUGAAAAGGGAGAACCAAAGCUUGAUGGAAAUAUGUGAAAAUCUGGAGAAGACGAAGCAGAAGAUUUCUCAUGAACUUCAAGUCAAAGAGUCACAAGUGAAUUUCCAAGAAGGUCAACUGAACUCGAGCAAAAAGCAAAUAGAAAAGCUGGAACAGGAACUUAAAAGGUGUAAAUCUGAACUUGAAAGAAGCCAGCAAGCGGCACAAUCUGCGGAUGUCUCUCUGAAUUCAUGCCUUACACCACAGAAAAUUUUUGCAACUCCGCUCACACCAAGCCAGUAUUAUAGCGGUUCCAAAUAUGAAGAUCUAAAAGAGAAAUAUAAUAAAGAAGUUGAAGAACGAAAAAGAUUAGAGGCAGAGGUAAAAGCCUUGCAGGCAAAGAAAGCAAGCCAGGCUAUUCCCCAAAGCACCAUGAAUCACCGGGACAUCGCCCGACAUCAGGCUUCUUCAUCUGUGUUCUCAUGGCAACAAGAAAAAACCCCAAGCCGUCUUUCAUCUAACACUCUAAAAACUCCAGUUAGGAGAGAUUUCUCUGCAUCUCAUUUUUCUGGGGAACAAGAAGUGACUCCAAGUAGAUCAACUUUGCAAAUAGGGAAAACAGAUGCUAAUAGCAGUUUCUGUGAUAAUUCUAGCAAUUCUCAUCUUUUGGAUCAGUUAAAAGCACAGAACCAAGAACUAAGGAGCAAGAUUAGUGAGCUGGAACUACGUCUGCAAGGACAAGAAAAAGAAAUGAAAGGCCAAGUGAAUAAACUUCAAGAACUCCAACUCCAACUGGAGAAAGCAAAAGUGGAAUUAAACGAAAAAGAGAAAGUUUUGAACAAAACCCGGGAUGAACUAGUGAGAACAACUUCACAGUAUGACCAGGCCUCAACCAAGUGUACUGCUUUGGAACAAAAAUUGAAAAAAUUGACUGAAGAUCUUAGUUGUCAGCGUCAAAAUGCAGAAAGUGCCAGAUGUUCUCUGGAACAGAAAAUCAAGGAGAAAGAAAAAGAGUUCCAAGAGGAGCUCUCCCGUCAACAGCGUUCCUUCCAAACCCUGGACCAGGAGUGCACUCAGAUGAAAGCCAGGCUCACCCAGGAGCUACAGCAAGCUAAGAACACAUACAACAUCCUACAGGCUGAACUGGAUAAAGUCACGUCUGUAAAGCACCAGGUAGAAAAAAAAUUGGAAGAGUUUAAGCAAAAUCUCAGCAAAACUGAACAGGCCUUACAGGCAAGUCAGACCAAGGAAAAUGAGCUGAGGAGAAGCAGUGAGGAAAUGAAGAGGGAAAACAGCCUCCUCAAGAGUCAGUCUGAGCAGAGGGCCCGAGAAGUCUGCCACCUGGAGGAGGAACUGAAGAAGGCCAAGCAGUGUUUGAGUCAGAGCCAGAAUUUUGCGGAAGAAAUGAAGGCUAAGAACACCUCUCAGGAAACCAUGUUAAGAGAUCUUCAAGAAAAGAUAAAUCAGCAAGAGAAUUCCUUGACUUUAGAGAAACUGAAGCUUGCCUUGGCUGACCUGGAAAAGCAGCGAGAUUGUUCUCAAGACCUAUUAAAGAAAAGGGAACACCACAUUGAACAACUGAACGAAAAGUUAAGCAAAACAGAGAGAGAAUCUGAAGCAUUGUUGAGCGCUUUGGAAUUAAAGAAGAAAGAAUAUGAAGAAUUGAAAGAAGAGAAAACUCUGUUUUCUCGCUGGAAAAGGGAAAACGAACAACUUUUAAAUCAGAUGGAAUCAGAAAAGGAAAGCUUGCAGAGUAAAGUUAAUCACUUGGAAACUUGUCUUAAGACACAGCAAAUAAAAAGUCACGAAUAUAACGAGAGGGUAAGAACCCUGGAGAUGGAAAGAGAAAAUCUAAACGUGGAGAUCAGGAACCUUCAAAAUGUGAUCGACAGCAAGACCGCAGAGGCAGAGACACAGAAACGCGCUUAUGGAGAACUGCAACAGAAAGCUGAGUUCUCAGAUCAGAAACACGAGAAGGAGAUAGAAAACAUGUGUUUGAAAAUCUCUCACCUCACCGGGCAAGUGGAAGACCUAGAACAUAAGCUUCAGUUACUGUCAAGUGAAAUCAUGGACAAAGACCAGCGUUACCAAGACUUGCAUGCUGAAUAUGAGAGUCUCAGGGAUCUGCUAAAAUCCAGAGAUUCCUCUGCAGUGACAGUUGAGCCUCAUCAGAGAAGUCGUUUGGCUUUUGAACAGCAGUCUGCACUGAACAAUUCCUUUGCAAGUAUAAUUGGAGAGCAAGAAAGCGUGUCUUCAGAAAGGAGUGGAUGCCAUGUAGCAACAGACCAAAGUCCGGAAAGUUCAUCCAUGUUGCAAAAUAGAGUCGUUUCUCUUGAAUUUUCCUUAGAGUCGCAAAAGCAGAUGAACUCAGAUCUGCAGAAGCAGUGUGAAGAGUUGGUGCAAAUCAAAGGAGAAAUUGAAGAAAACCUCAUGAAAGCAGAACAGAUGCAUCAAAGUUUUGUGGCUGAAACAAGUCAACGCAUUAGUAAGUUACAAGAAGACACUUCUGUUCAUCAGAAUGUUGUUACUGAAACUUUAGCUGCCCUGGAGAGCAAGGAAAGAGAGUUGCAAUUUUUGAAUGAAAAAUUAGAAACUGAGCAGGCAGAGAUUGGAGAGUUAAAAAAGAACAACCAUUUACUUCAGGAAUCUCUAAAGGAGCUACAGUUUUUGUCUGAAACCCUGAGCUUGGAGAAAAAGGAACUGAAUUCCAUCAUUUCUCUAAAUAAAAAGGACAUUGAAGGGUUGACCCAAGAGAAUGGGACUCUCAAGGAAAUUAAUGCCACCUUAACUCGAGAGAAGAUGAACUUGCUCCAAAAAACUGAGAGUUUUUCAAACUGUAUAGAUGAAAGAGAUAAAAGCAUUUCAGAGUUAUCUAAUCAGUACAAACAAGAAAGGCUUACUUUACUACAAAGAUGUGAAGAAACAGGAAAUGCAUUUCAGGAUCUGAGUGAAAAAUAUAAAGCAGUUCAGGAAAAGAACUCUAAAUUAGAAUGCUUGCUGAGUGAGUGCACGGGUGUUUGUGAAGACAGAAAAAAUGAAUUAGGACAGCUAAAGGAAACAUUUGCAAGGGAACACCAAGCAUUUGUAUCGCAGUUAGCAUCAGCUGAAGACAGAAACCAGAAUUUAAUUCUGGAGUUGGAGACGGUGCAGCAAGCCCUGCAGUCUGAGAUUACAGAUAUCCAAAACAGCUCCAAGAGGGAGGCUGAUGGUUUAAAGCAAGAAAUCAUGAAGUUAAAGGAAGAGCAAAAUAAGAUGCAGCAGGAAGUUAAUGCCUUAUUACAAGAGAAUGAGCACCUGAUGGAAUUAAUGAGGACAAAACAUGAACAUCAAUGUCUAGAAUUGGAACCAAUUCAAGACUCUGAGAAAGAAGGAGAGAGGGAGAUAAACACAUGUCAUGUUCAACUUCCGAUGGAUCUUGAUGUUAAAGAUUCUUCUCUAGACACUUACAAAGCACAGCUGGUGCAAGUAGAAUCUGAAGUCAGAAACAUGGAAUUAAGACUUCAGAAGAGUGAGAAGGAAGAGUGUCUACAGCACGAAUUACCAGCUAGAGAAUUAGAAACUGAAGAUUUGCAACAAGAUACUCAGUCACAAGAUAUUAGUAGCCUUGGAGACUCUGAAAUAGAUCGAGAAGAAAAAUAUAUUUCGGUGCUUCAUGAGUUGUCAACAAGUCAGCAGGACAAUGCCCACCUGCAGUGCUCUCUACAGACAGCCAUGAACAAGCUGAAUGAGUUAGAGAAAAUGUGUGAAGCCCUGCAGGUUGAAAAGUCUGAACUCAUAUCUGAGCUGAAUGACUCAAGAUCAGAAUGUAUCACAGCAACUAGUAAAAUGGCGGAAGAGGUAGGGAAACUAGUAAAGGAAGUUGAAACAUUAAAUGAUGAGAAUGGACUUCUCCAAGGUGAGUCAGUGGAAGAAACACCAGAAGGUGAAUUUGGUGUACAACAAGAUGAGCAGACAUCUGUGAACUUAAAUCCUUUGGAUGACUGUAAUUUCUAUGAGCAUUUGACCAUGUCAAACAAAGAGGUUCAAAUGCACUUCGCUGAAUUACAGGAGAAAUUUUCAUCUUUACAGAGUGAACACAAAAUUUUACAUGAACAGCACUGUCUGAUGAGCUCCAAGAUGUCAGAGCUGCAGUCUUACGUUGACACAUUAAAGGCUGAAAAUUCAGUCUUGUCGAUGAGUCUGAGGAGCGCUCAAGGUGACCUGGUAAAGGAGGUGACACCAGCGCCCGGGGAGGAGCAUUCACUGUCCUUGUCAUUCUCUUGUGUGACUGACAGCCCUGGUAACGCAAGUUUGGGAGAAUCCUCUUUUUACAAAGAUCUUUUAGAGCACACAACAGAAACGUCCCUCUUGAAUAAUUUAGAAGGGACUGUUUCAGCAAACCAGUCCAGUGUAGAGGAAGUCUCUUGCAGUAGUCUGGAGGAGGAGAAUCUGACCGAGAAAGAGAUCCCCUCUGUCCCACUGAGGAGCACUCGAGAACUUGAGACCCUCUGUCAGACGUACCUCCAGUCCCUCAAGCACCUGGAAGAGGAAAUUGAAAGUCAAGGGCAUACGAAAAACAAGGAAAUCGAAGAGCUCAAGGAGUUGCUGAGUUCUUCGAGGGAGGAGCUCGACUACCUCAGGAAGCAGUACUUGUCAGAAAACGAACAGUGGCAGCAGAAGCUGACAGAUGUGACAGCGGAGAUGGAGUCCAAGUUGGCGGCUGAAAAGAGACACACGGAGCACCUCACACUUGAGCUCGAAGUGGCGCGGCUCCAGCUGCAGGGUCUGGACUUAAGCUCUCGGUCGCUGCUUGGCACCGACAUAGAAGAUGCUAUUCCGGGUGGAAACGAUAGCUGUGACAUAAGAGAAUCAGAAGAAUAUACUUCAGAACCUAAAGAGAGGACCCCAAAGCAUGAGAUUCACCAGGUUUGUGAAAAAGAUGUUCAGCAGGACCUCAGUCUAGAGAUGGAGAAAAUAACAAAGACUGGUGCAGCCAAACUUACAGAAGAAUGGUCCAGAGAGCAGUCCUCAGAAGCCAGCCCUGAGGCCCCAGUGGGAGAUCCAGCCCAGGGUUGUUCAGAGUGCAUUUCUGAACUGUACCUUCCUGGGCCUAAUGCUUCAGUGCCUAGGGAUGUUCUGGAGAAUCAGGUAACCAUUCAGAGUCUCGAGCUGAAAGUAAAAGAGACAUCAAAUGAGAAUUUGAGAUUACUUCAUGGCAUAGAGGAACGUGACCAAAAAGUUGACAACUUGCUAAAUGAAAUCAAAGAGUUAGAUUCAAAAUUCCAUUUACUGGAAGUACAACUAACUACCAAGAUUGAAGCAUGUGUGGCAUUGGAAAAAAUAGUUGAGGAACUUAAGAAAGAAAAAUUGGAUUUAAAUGAAAAAUUGGCAUCCUUUUCUUGUCAUAACCAGAGAGAAGAAAGUUCAGGAGGUCUCACUCCUAGCUUAGAAAUGGUCACAAGCAAAUUGCCACAUGAAGAUAUUGAAGAUGAUGUAGCCAAGGUGACUGACAACUGGAGAGAGAAAUGUCUCCAGGUGGAAAAUGAACUACAGAGGAUUCAAUCUGAGAAAGAUAGCAUGGAGCAUCACACCCUCUCUGCGGAAGCCAGCUUAGAGGCAGUUCAAACAGAGAAACUAUAUUUAGAAAAAGACAAUGAAAAUAAACAAACAGUUAUAACCUGUCUUGAGGAAGGACUCUCUGUGGUCACAAGUGAGAGAGAUCAGCUUCGUGGAGAGUUAGAUACUUUGUCAAAAGAAAAUCAAGAGCUAGAUCAGAUGUCUGAAAAGAUGAAGGAGAAAAUACGGGAGCUUGAAUCUCAUCAACGUGAGUGUCUGCAUCUCCAAGAGCAGCUUCAGAGUUUGGAAAAGGACUCACAGGCACUGUCUCUGGUAAGAAGUGAAUUGGAAAAACAAAUUGAACAACUGAAUAAAGAGAAAGACUCACUUGUAUGGGAAUCCGAAAGCCUGCAGACCAAACUGAGUGAAUCGGAGAAUGAAAAGCUGGCCAUCACCAAGGCUUUGGAGACUGCACUGAUGGAGAAGGGUGAGGUCGCAGUGAGGCUGAGCUCCACGCAAGAGGAAGUGCACCAGUUGAGAAAAGGCAUUGAGAAACUCAGGGUCCGCAUUGAGGCUGAUGAAAAGAAGCAGCUCCAUGUCUCAGAAAAACUGAAAGCAAGCGAGCGGAGGAAUGACUCGCUUCAGGACAAGGUUGAGACCCUUGAAAGGGAGUUGCAGAUGGCAGAAGAAAACCAGGAGCUGGUGAUUCUUGAUGCUGAGAAUUGCAAAGCAGAGGUGGAGACCCUAAAAACACAAAUAGAACUGAUGACUGAACGCCUGAAAGAUUUAGAGUCAGACCUUGUCACAAUACGGACUGAAAAAGAAAAUCUUGUGAAACAGCUACAAGAAAAACAAGGUCAGGCGUCUGAGUUAGAUACGCUGCUCUCUUCAUUGAAAAACCUAUUAGAAGAAAAGGAGCGAGAGAAAAUACAGAUGAAAGAAGAAUCUAAAGCUGCAGUGGAGAUGCUGCAAACACAAUUGAGAGAGCUAAGUGAGGAAGUAGCAGCCUUAUGUGAUGACCAGGAGACCUGGAAGGUCAAAGAACAGAGUCUGGACUCUCCUGCCCAGGAGGUACAACAGCUGAGAAAUAACAUUGAAAAGCUGAAACUCCACUUGGACAUUGAUAAAAAGCAGCAGCUCCAUAUCCUAGAAAAACUGAAGGAAAGUGAGCAUCAGGCAGAUUUGCUUAAGGAUACAGUUGAGAACCUUGAAAGAGAACUCAAGCUAUCAGGAGAAAACCAAGAGCAUGUGACUCUUGAGGCUGAGAAGUCCAAAGCAGAAGUAGAGACCCUGAAAGCAACAGCGGAGGAGAUGGACCAAAAUCUGAGAGGUUUGCAAUUAGAUCUUGUCAAUAUAAGAUCAGAAAAAGAAGAUCUGACUAAAGAAUUACUGAAAGAGCAGAGUCGAGUGUCUGAAUUACAAACAUUAAAUUCUUCAUUUGAAAACCUAUUGCGAGAAAAAGAGCAAGAAAAAGUACAGAUGCAGGAAGAAUCUAAAGCUGCAGUGGAGAUGCUGCAGACACAACUGAAAGAGCUAAGUGAGGAAGUAGCAACCUUGUAUGUUGACCAGGAGACCUGGAAGGUUGAAGAACAGAGUCUGGACUCCCCAGUUGAGGAGGUACAACAGCUGAGAAAUAACCUUGGAAAGCUGAAAGUCUGCUUAGAUGCUGAUAAAAAGCAGCAGCUCUGUAUCUUAGAAAAACUGAAGGAAAGUCAGCAUCAGGCAGAUUUCCUUAAGGAUACAGUUGAGAACCUUGAAAGAGAACUCGAGCUAUCAGGAAAAAACCAAGAGCAUGUGACUCUUGAGGCUGAGAAGUCCAAAGCAGAAGUGGAGACCCUGAAAACAACAAUGCAGGAGAUGGACCAAAAUCUGAGAGGUUUGCAAUUAGAUCUUGUCAAUAUAAGAUCAGAAAAAGAAGAUCUGAGUAAAGAAUUACAAAAAGAGCAGAGUCGAGUGUCUGAAUUAGAAACAUUAAAUUCUUCAUUUGAAAAUAUGUUGCGGGAAAAAGAGCAAGAAAAAGUACAGAUGCAGGAAGAAUCUAAAGCUGCAGUGGAGAUGCUGCAAAAAGAAUUAGAAGAGCUAAACGAGAAAAUGGCAGCCUUGGGUAAUGACCAAGAGACCUGGAAGGUCAAAGAACAGAGCCUGAGUAGUCAGGUAGAUUCCCUUGAACAUGAGAAGGCUCAGCUGCUGCAGGGCCUUGAUGAUGCCAAAAGUAAUUACAUGAUUUUGCAGUCUUCUGUGAAUGACCUCAUUCAAAAAGUUGAAGAUGGCAAACAGAAACUAGAGAAAAAGGAUGAAGAAAUCAGCAUACUAAAAAGUCAGACUCGGGACCAAGAGCAGCUUGUCUCUAAACUGUCCCAGAUGGAAGGAGAACAGCAACUUUGGAAGAAGCAAAAGGCAGACCUGGAAAAUCUGAUGGUGGAAUUGGAGCAGAAGAUUCAGGUGCUGCAAUCCAAAAAUGAUGCUUUACAGGACACCUUAGAAGCUCUGCAGAAUUCUUACAGGAAUCUGGAGAAAGAGCUUGAAUUGACAAAUUUGGAAAAAACGUCCUUUGUUGAAAAAGUAAACACAAUGACUGUGAAGGAAACUGAGCUUCAGAAGGAAAUGCAUGCAAUGAUACAAAAAACGGCGGAACUGAAAGAAGAAUUUAGUGGGGAGAAAAACAGGCUAACGGAAGAAUUAAAUUUAAUGUUGGAAGAAGUAAAAAGCAGCAAAGGUCAACUGAAUGAGCUCAUGCUAGAAAAUAGUGAAUUGAAGAAGAGUUUGGAUUGUGUACACAAAGACCAUAUGGAAGAACAAGGGAAAAUGAGAGGAGAAAUAGCUGAAUAUCAGCUACGGCUUCAGGAAGCUGAAAACAAACAUCAGGCUUUGCUUCUGGAUACAAACAAACAGCAUGAAAUGGAAAUCCAGACAUAUCGAGAGAAACUGACUUCUAAAGAGGAAUGUCUCAGCUCACAGAAGGUGGAGAUAGACCUCUUAAAGUCCAGUAAAGAAGAACUCAAUAAUUCUUUGAAAGCGACCACUGAGAUUUUAGAAGAAUUGAAGAAAACCAAGAUGGAAAAUCUAAAACAUGCAGAUAAAUUGAAGAAGGAAAACGAUCGUGCCCAGAGUAAAAUAAAGUUGUUGAUGAAAUCCUGUAAACAGCUGGAAGAGGAAAAGGUGAUGUUGCAGAAAGAACUGUCUCAUCUUGAAGCUGCACAGGAGAAACAGAGAGCAGAUACCGUUGUAGAUGCUAAUGUCGACGAAUUAAUAACUGAAAUGAAAGAACUGAAAGAAUCCCUUGAAGAAAAAACCAAGGAGGCAGACGAAUACCUGGAUAAAUACUGUUCCCUGCUUAUAAGCCAUGAGAAGUUAGAGAAAGCCAAAGAGAUGUUAGAAACACAAGUUGCUCGUUUGAGUUCACAACAAUCUAAACUUAAUCUUCGGAGUUCUCCUUUGGUGAAUUCGGUUGCUCCAGGACCAUCCCCAGUCCCUUCUGCCACUGAAAAGAAGUUACCAUCUGGCCAAAAUAAAUCUUCAGGCAAAAGGCAAAGGUCCAGUGGGAUUCGGGAAGAUGGGGGAGAAACCACACCCUCUACACCAGAGACAUUUUCCAAAAAAAGCAGGAAAGCCAUCAAAAGUGGUACUCACCCUCCAGAGGAUGCAGAAGAUGCUGAAUUUGAGCCAGAGGGGCUUCCAGAAGUUGUAAAGAAAGGGUUUGCCGAUAUCCCAACCGGAAAGACUAGCCCGUACAUCCUGCGGAGGACAACCAUGGCAACCAGGACCAGCCCCCGCCUUGCUGCCCAGAAGUUAGCAGCAUCCCCGCUAAGUCUCGACAAAGAAAAUCUCACCGAGACCUCCAAACCAACAGCUGGUGGCAGCAGAUCCCAAAAGAAAAAUGCCAUGCCAGUUACGUUGUCAAGAACUGCAGAGCUAACUGGGCUCUGA